rnacentral:rRNA from 1 species
UAAAGAUUAAGCCAUGCAUGUAUCAGUACAAGCCUCACUAAGGUGAAACCGCGAAUGGCUCAUUAAAUCAGUUAUUAUUUACUGGCCGAGACAGUGAUACAUGGAUAACUGUGGUAAUUCUAGAGCUAAUACAUGCAACCGAGCCCCAGUGCCGGCUCUCGGGUCGGCCGGGGCGCUUUUAUUGGCUGAAAACCGAUGAUCGUCCUCGUGGCGAUCGUUCUCCGAUGAAUCACAAUAACAUUGUGUGGAUCGUACGGUCUUGUACCGACGACGCGCCUUUCAAAUAUCUGCCUUAUCAGCUCUCGACGGUUUGCUAGUGGCUGACCGUGGCUCUGACGGGUAACGGGGAAUCUGGGUUCGGUUCCGGAGAGGGAGCCUGAGAGAUGGCUACCACAUCU